GGCCCGGUGGUCAAGCGGUUAAGACACCGCCCUUUCACGGCGGUAACGUGAGUUCAAUUCUCGCCCGGGUCACCA
rnacentral:tRNA from 1 species